GAGAGAGCCCCAUCAUAGCGGCCGCAACAAACUAAAAUAAUUAUUGAUGCUAUAUAUCGAUUACUAUCGCCAUGCGCCUGCAAGUCGUAGCGUGUGUGGGGAUCCAGUGUUCGUAAAUCAGUGGAGAGUGGGACUCGCACAUUGCUCUGCAAAUACAACGUUUAAUAUUUAAAAACAAAUGCCAUGUACAAAAAUGUGCUAAAAGGAGGUAUACGUACAGCAAAGCAGGCCUGGAAAUUCCGAAACGAACUUGGUAAACUCAAUUUGGACUUAGCCAAAGCAAAUUCCGAUUUUGAACAGCAUUUGUGUGAAGGUGAGAAUAGUACAGCCAACU
rnacentral:sRNA from 1 species